rnacentral:tRNA from 1 species
GUGGGUGUAGCUCAGUGGUAGAGCACUGGAUUGUGGCUCCGGUUGUCGCGGGUUCGAUCCCCGUCACUCACCCCA